rnacentral:rRNA from 1 species
CCCUUAGAUGUUCUGGGCAGCACGCGCGCUACAAUGGUCUUCGCAAACGGAUGCAUUCUCGAAGGAGAAUGCCAAUCUUGGAAUCUAUGCCUUGGUCGGGACAGUUGCUUGCAAUUUUUCGACUCGAACCAGGAAUUCCUUGUAAUCGUGAUUCAUCACAUCACGAUGAAUACGUCCCUGCCCUUUGUACACACCGCCCGUCGCUCCUACCGAUCGAAGAAUUAGGUGAAUUGUUUUGAUCGAUAAGAUUUGACUAUGGUCAACUCUCGUUGUGAAAUUCUGUGAAUCUGACUGUUUAGAGGAAGGAAAAGUCGUAACA